rnacentral:lncRNA from 1 species
AUGGUAGGGCUUCAACCCAUUGCAGUAAUUUUAGCAUCACUAUCAUACUCAACGUGUUUGUUCAUUGCCCUGACAUCCAGAGCUAACAGAAAGAGCACUGCCAAAUCUUGGAGGACUUAUCAAAAACUAAAUUGCAGAUGUUCUGGGCCUCAUAAGACAUAUUAUCAAUAUCCAUCUGCAUGUCUCUAUGCCGAUCAUAGGAGGAAAAAGCACCCAAAAAUAGCUUAG